rnacentral:lncRNA from 1 species
UCCUCAACAAGCUCAUCCAGCAACUUUCCUUCUAUUUCGUUCCCUAAGCUAUCUAAUUCCACUCUCAUCUUAUCUACCCACCCUUUCCCUACCACCAUAUCCACCACCAGGCUGUUGCUGUCGCCACCGUCCCCAAAUGUACAUCUCACAUCACUACAAAGCCAUGACUUCAACUGAGCCCACAAGUAGUCAACUAUCUGGGGUUGUGCACCCUCUACCAACCAGUUUUGAACCCCACUGCAAGUCACCGCCUUUGUGCUCCUGUCUGAUCCAUGACCUGUGAUUUCAACUAGCGCUGCAUUCACAGAGUCAAAUACAAGUUUCCAAUUUGAUCGUCUCUGUCUCCGCUUUGCCUCCAGCAAAAGCUCCUUGUCAUUUAGGUUAGCAUAUUUGUCUCUCAAUGAUGGGUCUAAUGGGCUUCCGGGCGAAUGCCACCUGGCAAAAAAUGAAUCUAAUUGCAGGUCGGAAUCAAGGCCGGCUGUUGUUAGUAGAGUUUGGACCAAGAAAAACCAGUCCUUUUCAUCUUUGUCAGCACCCAAGGAGACCGGAGAGGGAGAGGUCUUUAAUGGAUAAGGACUAGCUGUCUCUGCACGGGAAUCAUCCAACAAUAGGGUUCGAGCCACUGAUUCUAUUGGUGGUGAUUUAUCAGUCAAAUUAGACUUGAGAGGCACCUCUAUUCCUGCAUUAAAGAGAGAAUUCAUAUGAUCUGGCUAGGAACUAGGUAAAUGCAUAUGAAAUUUCUCGAAAAGUCCCAAAAUAGGAGAUAUUAACCUCUGUAACCUGGCUUGAUACUGCCAGAAGCCUCCAGAAUUGUGCUGUCAUCCUUUUCAAAUGGGGGUUCUAAAACUGCGAUAGGUCUUGGCUGAUCUUGAUUCUCAUUCAUAGUCACAGGCACCAAGGGCUUUGUUACCGAUACCCCUCCCUGCAAAUUGUUUUUACAAGAUUAUCAGGUCGCUUCAUGGGAAGUUCAAGAUGAACAGACAAUUAGAAAUAAAUAAAUGAUAUUCAGCUGGAAGAAGACAAUUAUGGAGUCUAAAUCCAGAACAAAUGUAUGACAUUGCUACCACUACUUGAAAUCUUGAAGAAAUCCCGGCUUUACUUGAAAUAGAAUCAAUAAGUAAGAAAUCAAGAUGUGUUUCAAGCUGCAUGGCAAAAGCACAGACUGGUACUGUUUCUUUUACACAUAAAAAUUGAUGAAUUAACCAACCCAAACUCAUUUUCCUAGCCCACAGGAUGACUUAGCUCAUACAGUCCAAGUGUCCAACCCAACUUUAAUUAAUUGACAAACUAUAGGAGGUAGGAAGUACAGGCUGGGAUUUCACUCUGUUCAAUAAGAAAUACAAUGUGCGUCUCUCUCAAUCAUGUUUCCAUAAAUUAUUAACUGUAGACAUACCUUUGAUCAAUAAUAACCAUAGCAACAUUUAUGACUAAGAAAGAACAAAACAGGGCAAUCAUAAAGAAAGAAGAUAGAACUACCUCAUCGGAAACAAUGCCUUGUUUUGUUGCCAUGCUGAUAAGAUCUGGAUAAGCAAUGCUUGCUGAUCCAUGUAAAACAGGAGAUAAACGCUUUUCACAGCCACAGUUAUUAGAUCAUUGAGCUGCAUCAUCACCAACUUCUUCAGUAAGAGGAACUGGUGACCCUAGGAUGGCAGACUGAGAUUCAUCUUUUGAUUGACAUGCAACAGAUUUAUCUUUACUUGGUUU